GUGGAGAAUGCCGAAAAUCCAUUAAAGAGUAGGCA
rnacentral:ncRNA from 1 species